GACGUAGGGUGCGAGCGUUGUCCGGAUUUAUUGGGCGUAAAGAGCUCGUAGGCGGUUGAGUAAGUCGGGUGUGAAAACUCUGGGCUUAACCGCCGAGCAGCCGCCUCGAUACUGCUCUGACUUGAGUACGGUAGGGGAGCAGGGAAUUCCUAGUGUAGCGGUGAAAUGCGCAGAUAUUAGGAGGAACACCGGUGGCGAAGGCGCUGCUCUGGGCCGAAACUGACGCUGAGGAGCGAAAGCGUGGGUAGCAAACAGG
rnacentral:rRNA from 1 species